UUUUUAUGGCCAAUGGCACAAGUUUCUACUAAUCUCUCUCUACAUAUAAGUAUUUAUAUAUUUAAUACACAAAAAUACACAAAGUUCAAUAAUAAUGAAUGAAUAGUGAAAUGAUGUUGUAUUGCCAAACCUAGUUUUGGUUUUUCUUCUGACCUCAGUAAAGAGAAAUCCAAGCAUGCCAGAUCCUCAAAAAAAGAUUGCAUGGUAAGGAGGAGGAGCUGAGGCACAGGAAUGAAACAUAUCCACACACACAUUCACACCCUUUCCUUUCUUCAGCCCUCCACUAGUGUGUGGUGAGUGAGUGACAUUAUUACUCCAUCUAGUAUGAUUGCCCAUAUCAUUACCAGAAUGGGGUCAAAAGGAAGAAAAAUAAAACAAACAAACAAAAUAAUAAAAUAAAAUACAUGCACGCUAUACCUCAUCCUCAAACACACACAUAUAUAUAUAUAUAUAUAUACACAAAUGGGAAAGGGUAAUAUAGAAUCCCACGCAAUUAAUGAGUGAAGCAGGUCCAUCAUUCAUUCAUCCAUCCAUCCAUCCAUCCAUCCCCUCGUUUUCUUGUGUGUGUGUGUUGGGGUUUCGCGUUGUUGAGUGCGGAGAUAACGGGGACGGGGGGUGGGGGUGGCCUUGGCCACGCCUGGUGUCCGUCUUCAAUGCGCGCACUGACAGUGCGGGCUGCGAGCAGCGACGUGCCUGAAGCAGCAGCAGCAGCAGUAAUGUUAGUAGUAGCAGCAGCAUUAGCAGCAGCAAGGAGGAGAGAGACAGGCAAGGCAAAGACAACGCGGGGAGUGGGUGGAUUGGUGGGUGAGUGAGUGAGUGAAUGGGUUGAGUGGGUGGGUGGAUGUUUGGCAGAGUCUUCUUCUUCUUCUGCUUCUUCCUCGUGUUUUCUUGCAUCCUCUCGUGUUUCUCUUUUUGGCCUCUGAAAUGGGCUGUUGUUGCUGCGGCGACAACAUGAUGAAUGGGCGUCCACAUUGCGACAGUGCUGGGCCGAGGUCAGUCAGCCUUUCGUGGCUUUGCCUUCAUUCACUGCUGUGCUUGUCGUGUUGCCGCUGACAAUGGAAUCCAUGGAGGAGGUUGAUGUGCCUCAUCGCCGAGGGUAGAGCUCCAUCGCAGUGAGCCAAGUGGAUGGAGACUUGGAAUCUGGGUUCUUUCUCUUGUCCUUCACUAACUUGCUUGUUGAUUCUUUGUCUUGGUUUGCUAUGUUUUGUAUUCUUUACUCCUUUUUCAUUUUUAACACACACCCUAAAACUUGUUGCACUCCCUUCCGAUAACCCAAGUGUGGAUGGUGCCUCUUUGUUGACUAUUUUGGAUUCAUGUUCAUUACCUUUGCGCAUCUUCACAAUUCAUUAUUAACGCUUUCAUUGGCAUUUUUAUUAAUAUUUUUUGUAUAUUGUGGUGUUUGUUCUGCUUGUUACACUUAGAAUUGUGUAUGUUUCUAUCUUUUUACUAUUUUUGUUUGUCAUAUAUAUAUAUAUAUAAUCUGUAAUUGGUAAGUAAAGUGCUAAUGAUGCCUCAGAAUAGCAAUUGAGCAAUCUUGAAACACUGUUGUAUAUCUAGUGGUCAAAAUAUGUGCUUAUUUAUGUUCCAUCAAAAAACAUGUUGCAUGGCGUCUUUUUCUCAUACAAAGAUCAUCCAAUACCAAUUAUAAACAUGUUAAAUGAGUCGUCGUUUAUCCAAAUUUAUCAAACUAAGUGAGUUGUUUUUGUUCUGAAUUUGUGAUAUGCAGGAAUUUAGGUGUUUUUACAUCCAAAUUUUUCUUAUUUUAAGUAAUUGUGGUAGAGAUUUGAAUUCGUUACUGGAUUAUGAUAUUUCGACAAAUAUUUAUACUAAAUGUCACAUGUAACUAUUCAUCUAAUUCAUAUCAAAUGAAAAUCAUAUGGUGAAAAUUAUUUUGAGUACUGUAAUAUGUCUAUAAAUAAAUAUGGGAAUGUUAAAGAGAUGCAAGUUUCUACUAAAUUGACCCACCCAUCCUAAAUAUCAUGAAAAAAAAAAAAAAAAAAAAAAAAAAACC